rnacentral:sRNA from 1 species
AAUAAUACAAAAAAAUGUAAUAAAAACUGCAUAAUAAAGCCCGUGUCACGAUCACGCACGAAUAAAUCACGCGUUCGGUUUAAAAAUAAACAAAAUUUGACACACGUUGAAAAAAGAGAACAAAACCAAAAACAACGUCGCCCAAAAAUCGAUGCACAAAAAGUGUGCACAUCUAUUUGAAUAUGUUUUCGGGCUCGUUUCGUAUUUUUUUUUUAUAUUUUUUUUCUGGUGUGCCAGCAAUGUGUUUCGAUUUGUGUGUUGUCGCGUGAAAAAAAUUCGUUGACAGCCGUGAAAAUCUUCAAAAAUGUGCAAGUGUAUACGUAAAAAGUCUGGCUAGAAUGAGAUAUGAAAAACUGCGGUUCUAUGUGAUAUUUUUGAAGUGCUCCAAAAAGAACUCGCUGAGAAGUUGAGCGUUAGCUUACAGCUGUUGCAAGGUAAUUAGGCAAUUGUCUAGAGAAAUAUUGAUAUAAAUGAAACGGAACUACAUAUAUAAAUAUUGACGAGCAUAUUCCUGGAAUUAAAAUAUGCUACAUAAAGCGGAUGCUCCACGCUUCAGGCUUUGCACGUGCAUUUUGUGGCCAACGGGAAAUCUAUUUAAAUGAAAAUGCUGAACUGUCAUCAAUUCGGAUUGUUUUCGGGGUCACGGUAACCAACCCAGUGGAAGAUGGCACGAAUUUUUGCUAUACCAAACAUGUUUAACAGCCAGUGUUGGUGCCGGGGUCGACAUCCAAAUGCGAAGCCCUCAACAAUGGGGCAACACUGCGCGAACGGGGGCAACACGCAGACGUCGGCGCGCUCUGCACGCGACACACAAAGCAACACGAGAAAACACACACACACACACACACAGCACACACGCUGCGCGGUCAAGAGUCAACAGACACAGCAUAUGACCAAUUGCCGUGUUAAUUUAUGGCUCUCCAUGACACGAUUUAUGCCAUGGUGCGCACACUUUUUGCAUGCACUGUGCAUAUAUGUACAUAUGGGAAGCGUAAGGAAGCACAAGUCUUUUGUUUUUGCUGCCUGUAUUAAAAUUUCCAAAUGGUUAUUGACGCUGAGGCUGAGCUGCAGACGCCACAAAAGUGGGCAUGCCCACUUGAUAAAUAAGAAGAAGAAAAAGCGACAGAGAAAAGCUCAUAAAAAAAAAAGAAAAGAAGAAAACGAAACGAAAUGCCGAAGCAGCACGUGAUAAACGCACUUAACAGACUAAAGAAUUCAAAAUUCCAACUGAUCCUGGAAACUACGAGGAGUCCUUAAGGGCGCAAGUAUCCAGGAUUGGACUUCAAUAGCCCGGGAUAAAGUCAUUGUAGGUUUA